AGCAGCCGCGGUAAUUCCAGCUCCAAUAGCGUAUAUUAAAGUUGUUGCAGUUAAAAAGCUCGUAGUUGAAUUUCGGGAUCAAGUCGUCGGUCGUGCUCAGGUACGUACUGGCGUCAUUGAUUUCUCCCUUCUGACGAACCAUGAUGUCAUUAAUUUGGUGUUAUGGGAAAUCAGGACUGUUACUUUGAAAAAAUUAGAGUGUUUAAAGCAGGCUCACGCUUGAAUACAUUAGCAUGGAAUAAUGAAAUAGGACGUUCGAUCCUAUUUUGUUGGUUUUAGGAUCAACGUAAUGAUUAAUAGGGAUAGUUGGGGGCAUUAGUAUUCAAUUGUCAGAGGUGAAAUUCUUGGAUUUAUUGAAGACUAACUACUGCGAAAGCAUUUGCCAAGGAUGCUUUCAUUAAUCAAGAACGAAAGUUAGGGGAUCGAAGACGAUCAGAUACCGUCGUAGUCUUAACCAUAAACUAUGCCGACUAGGGAUCGGAUGAUGUUAAUUUUUAAUGACUCAUU
rnacentral:rRNA from 1 species